rnacentral:lncRNA from 1 species
GAUCCCAUCUCCCCGUUUAAACCUAGAGACCCAACCCCAACUAUUCCCAAACACUAAUCAUUCCUCACCAGACUCGGCCGCCCUCAUUUCCUCUUCCUCUCUUAUUUCUCUCAAACACACCAAACCAAUCAAUCAGAGAACCUUGCACAAAUUAGUGCAAUGUCGCGAAUCAAACCACAUAUUAUUCUUAUUGUCAUCUUAAUCCUCGAAUCCCGCUAUUUCUUUCCUCUUUCAUUAUUGAGAUUCAAAAUCCCCAAUCCGAAAACCCUAACCUAGAGCUCAACUUCGGACCAACUGAUUUUCUUCUUCGUACUUUCAAAUCCAUGGCAUGCAUGGCCAUCCAUCUUGUCUCAUUACUGCGAAUUUUGCUAUUCCCUUUCCGUUUCAACCCUUUAAUAUCAAAAUCCCUAAUGUUGAAAUCACAGACUAAAAGGUGAAAAUUCCAAUCAUUUGAGAUCUCCUUUGUUCUUUCGUAUCAAAGCACAUGAGAAGCCUCUUCAGAACUUCAUCAUGAAGAUUCUGUACCCAGAGGUCAAGCGUAGUGGCCUCUGGGUUUUUGAGCUUUGCCCGAUGGUUCCUUUCCAUCAACGGCCGACUCACUCCACUCAGGUAAAAUUAAUACUACUUUUUACCUCUGGUUUUCUCUGAUUUUCACUUGUUUUGCUCACAUCACUGCCUCAUUGUCAUCUUUCACUCACCGAGUUUGAUUUCUAUUGAACCCUAAGGCAUUGAAUACCACUAUAAAAGGAGCCUUCAAUGCUCUCACCUAACAACACAUGACACACACGAAAAUCACCUAAACAAGCAGAAAAACUACUUAAACUACAAAGAUAGUAUUUAUUACGGUUUUGAGUAGCAAUCUCAGGCUAGGGUUCUAAUUAGGUUAUGAUAUCUUUUCCGUUCAAAGCUUUACACUAAUUGGAGUUUGACUCCCUGAUUCUUAAUGACUAAGCAAGACUCUUUUUGGUUUGUUGCUCAAAAGAAACUCAGUGCACUUGACCUUCUCUUCUUUAUUUUUAAUUGCUGAAAACAUGUCUACUCUGUUACCUUUUACUGAUUGUGUUCAGCUUAUGAUGUUUUGUUGUUAGCUUACAAUUGAUUAUCUCUGUUCAUGAUAUGUUCAUAAUCAACUAUUAUGCUCAGGCAUUAUAUGAUUCAAGUUGAUACUAAUUCUUUAUUGUGUGACUAAUAAGUACUGCUCUACAUUAUGUAACCUGUAUGAUCAAGCUUCUGUGAUUAACUAAAGAAUCUUGAUAAUUUCUUACACUCAUUCUGACUUUUCUGUUAUGUCUUUCAUGUCCACCUUACUGAUUCUGCUUUAGUGUUAUCUCUUGAUUUAUACCUGAAGUUAUUUGUAGAUAAAGCUAACUAAAGAAUGGAUAUGAACACCUAAGGUUAAGUAUAGAGUUGUCACUUUAAUUCAAGUAUAGUAGUUUAUAAUGCUUGAGUUAUUUUCUUCCCUAAUGUGUUCUUCUGUGAUUCUGUAACUCUAGAGAGAUUAGUGUAAAAGUAUUCUAUCAGCUCCGAUAAUUGUUUGAUCACAUCAGUAAGUCUCAUUGUAUGAGAUAAUGCUUUAAAGUAACUAGAGUAAGUUCUAAUGAAUCUCUGCAUUCAAGUUUUUGUCUGAUUCUAUCUACUUAGCUUAAGCAAUGCCUAUAAACCUGAUUUAAGUUGCACCUGCUAUGGUUGAGUAUCAUCAAUUGAAUUAGGCAUUGCUAAACUUCACACGACAAACAAAUCUACUUAACUUAUAACUGAACCAUGCUUACUUAGUAUAAACUUUCACUAUUCUGGACCACCAUAAUGACAAUGUUAGUCUAAUCUUAUAUUGUUUGGUACUCAAUCAUGUUGUAAUUUUGUAGUCCGGUUAGAAUGUAACAUGUACACAUUUGAAUGUCAUUUAUUGGAAGUUCUCUACUCAUCCCUGUUUCAGAAGGGGAGUGCUGCUUGUAUAUCAUAUUUGUGACUGUACUUCCAUAUCAUUGAAACCUACUAAGUUUACUGUAGUUUACCCAUGGACUUAGGAGAGGCCCUUUGAUGUUUAUCUGCCAUGUUUGAGUGUAGGACUGUAUAUUUAAUUUAUAACCAACCUAGAUGGAAUAAAAGAUCUCUUUAUAGGUCAUAUCACUUGUUAAGUAAAUAUAUUUGACUAUCCCUGUCUUUAACAACCCUGAAGUGAACUGUUGAGUACUCUCAAGCAUGAUAAAGUACAUGAAAAUGUAUUAUAUGCUUAUAUGUGAACCAAGAUCUCUUAUAAUAUUAUAUGCAGUAUUCUAAAUAGUUAUUUAUAAGAAAUAUACAUCUCCUUAUGUGUAGUCACGGUUGUUGUAUUAUAAUUUAUAUUGAGUGCCUCAUUAGCACUCAACGCUGCAGGGGAGAGUAAGUGAGUAGUUAGGGGUAUUUGGGAGUAGAAUUUAGUUUCUGGUUGAGAUAUUCUCCUUGACAAAAGCACUGCUCGUGGUCCUUGUGACCCUUGUGAACUUUGAAAUACCAAGGAUCAUAGGGUAUCUCGGCCAUGGAUGGAAUUUUACCCUAAUCCUUUAAUUAUUGACAUUUGCUAAUCUCUUUACGUUUAUUGUCUAAUGGAAACAAAGGUUUCACUGUAAAUUGCUUUACUCUGUGUGACUCCACAUUAAUUUGUAUUCCUAACUGCUAUUGAUUGUUACAGUUUAUCUUGGGCCUAUAUUGGUAUCACUUAUGUUUAAAUAUUAUAUUGGGCCACAUAUCUAAUAACCUUCUCUUUUUACGCAUGUGUCUGAAUUGGACCUGCCAAGUUCUCAAAGAACUCAGGCCCAAAUUCUUGCCUGAACCUUAUGAGUCACCUGAAGCUGCCGUUGUUUGCGUAAUGUCUGCUGGGCCUAAUUCCUCUCAGGCCCAAAUCAUGAGUCCAUUUCAUUUUUCCUAUUGCUUUUAUAAGUCUAUUGUUGCUCAUAUAUGUAUCAACACUGACGAUAUUGAUUGAAUAUUUUUACUUUUAUUUUCUUUGAGUUAUAUUAACUACCUAGGCAAGUCUCAAAGAGCGUAGGUAAAAAGAAGAGUAGUACUUAACUUAGUAGUAAUUAAUUCUAAUUUGUUAAUUAUUUUUAUUUAUUUAGUUCUCAACUCUUACUAACAAUCUUUUAAUGAUAUUUUUGAAACUAAGAAAGAUUUGCAAAAGAGUCAACAACCUUCUCUUUUUUAAGACAAGAAGAAAAUCGAAACUAACCAAAAAGUUUUUUCCAAAAACAAGCUGGCUAUUUCUGCGAAUCAAAAGAACAGUGCUGCAAUUAAGAGAUCUUCAAACGAUUUCUUCAAAUUUGAAUAUAAAGUUUGAAAAUCAAAUUUCCAAGGUAUAUCUAAACCCUGAUUUCUCAAAUGGUUCUUACUUUAUAUAAAUAGACACGUUUUUUCAAAGUCAAUGUUUUUAAACUUAACCCCCAUUUAUUAUUUAAGUAUGUGUUAUAUACCUAUUUUUCUAAACAUUCUUUCAAUUGUAUAGACAUUUUCAAAGGCAUUUCUCUUAAAUAAAGCUUACGCGUUUUCAAAGCAUAUACACUACUUCUCUUUCAAAAUUAAUAGGUUUUUAAAAUGUAACACAAGGUAAGCUACACAUCUUUAAGAACUUACUAAGUAGAUAUAGACAUUUAAUUCCCCGAACCUAGUCUAAAUCCUAUGGAGCUACCUUAGGUAGAUUCUAGGGGGGUCCCUAACACAUUCCUUUUAGAAGAACAAGAACCCUUAUCCAAAAUCUCACUAGUUAGCAGACUAAUAGGAUAAUGAUCUUAAUCAUUAAAUAGGUACCCUAGUAUAACUUUAAUUAGUAGGUGGCGACUCUCUUUUAUCAUCAAUAUGGAAACCAGUAGUUAAAUCUUAUUUUGACUUGUGCAAAAUAGGGUACAACAACAUGACAACUCUACUGGAAAAUUACACUUAGGUUCUGACCUUUGCAGAUUUGGACUAGACCUAGAAUUUAGGAACAUUUGUUUAUAUACUACUUUAACUGUGCUUAAUUUGCAAAUAUGUGCUUACCUGCUUACUUGUUCAUUAUGUACUUAUCUGCUUGCUCUAUUGUUAUACCUAACAUCCCACUAUUUGUUACCUCUUUAUAUACACUAUCAUCAUACACUUUCCUAUCGAGUCUUGGCCGUACACUAUCACAUACAAUGGCACGCGAGGGUUGUCUUUUAUACCCCUCCGAACCUUCUUUCAAAAUUUCUUAGUUUCAAAGAAUUGCUUUGUCACAUCAACUGGCAUAAGUUCUCGCAAUAUUUAGUCCAACUCAAAAACUAGGAAACAUUCUACUCUAGCAAACAUAGGCCAUACUGCAUAAACCUUAGGUGAGUCGGUCCUUGGCAUCUGCACACAAUUAGGAAAGAAACCCUAAUGGCAACGGGUCAUGCACCUAACGACAUGAAUCUUGUGGAACGACGAACCAAUCACGUUGAGACACUAAAGAUACGGAGCAAAACACUUAUCAAACCUUUUCUACCCUCUUCAGAAAUGGAAAUCAACCAGAACAUCCCCGAGAUUAAUAUGGUCAUGGGAGCACCGCACAAGCUAAAGCAAUGGUGGAAGAAUAUUUAUCGAGAGCAUGGAGACAAAAUCAGGAUGCACCUAUGAGCAUUGGGUUGCCUUACUAAACAUCCGGGCCGACAUGGUGCUUACCCAUUUGCUGAUAGAAUUCUGGGAUCCAGCCAAAGUGGUUUUCAAGUUCGCCAACUGUGAAUUGGUGCCAACGUUGGAAGAAGUUACCAUCUUCAUUGAACUGCCAUUUACUAAGAGAAAGACGAUACUACUGGUUACCAUGCCCCGCUACAGAUUUCUCGAUGCUUUGGGUUUUGCGGGUAGUCGGAGUUUGAGGAACAUUGAAGACGGAUGGGUAAGCCUGGACCAAUUAUUUGACAGGUUUGUAUAUAGAGAGAGCUACGAAUGGUACUUGGGAGAGUUCCAAUGUGAUUAGGCAAACCGGGAAAGUCUCCUCCCCAUAAUCUUCUCUUUGGCGUUGUUACGAUUGCUGGUUUUCACACAAAGGAGAGGAUGGAUCAAUAUCAACUUGCUGUUUGUGGUCUUGGCAACAUACCGAGGCAACCUCCAAGCCAGAUUAGUACCUAUGAUAUUAGCAGAAAUUCUCAGAGCACUGUCUGCAUGUUCUCGGGGGUACGAUUUCUUUAAGGGAUGCAACCUGUUACUCCAAAUAUGGGCCACAGAGCACUUCUUUCAACAAGAGGCCACAAUUGAUUACUUUGUGGGUGUUAGAAAUAUAAUUCGGAGUCACAAUGAAAGAAUGAGGCACUGGGUCUCCCCGCACAGACAUGAAGAAUGGAGAGAGAUGCUGACCAACUUGAGCGGAGAAUGGAUAAACUAGAAGCUUUCGUGGCUGAACGGUAGGGCAAUUCUAAGGACUCCCAGAAGUAUUUCAUCGAGCUGAUAAGACUCCAAGGCAUUCACCCAUAUGCACCCCUAUGAUCUCUCAGGCUGUUUGGUUUGAUUUGGGAUGUACCUCUCUGGACGAGGAUGGCUUUUUAUGAAGAUGAGUACAAUGGGCAGAUCCCGAUACCAAGGAUAAGGAGACUUUAAGAGGAGUGGAAUGAUUUAAUUAUGAUGACAAUGGGUCAGAAUUCGUGGUGCACCCCAGAAUACUAUCUCUGGAUCAAUGAAGAGAGUGAGCUGGCCUGACCAAGCAAGGAAAGAAUAUCCUGGUUAGAAGAUGCAGUAGCAACCUUGCAAAUCUAUAACGAGAUCUUGCCUCACUACCUCGUGACAACCUCCAUGCAUCGCCAAGUGGUCCCAGGAUCAGUUGAUCAUAUGCUGCCACCCCCAGAGGAUGAUGACUGAGUGGUCGAGUGUAUACAAAUUGAGUCUGAGACAGAACCAGAAGAAGAUCUAGAAGAAGGGCCCGAGUUCAAUGAUGAUGAAGAAGACCCGGAAGAGGAAGAAGACAUGGGAGAUGAUUCUGGGGAUGGCUAUUAGUAGCUAGUUGAUUUCACCCUUUUCCCACCUUGUAUCCUUUAUCCCAAACCCUUUCAUUUCCCUAAGGGCAAGUCUAUUGAGCCCAUGUAAUCUUAUGGAUGUUGGAAAAAUAAUGUUGUAAUCCUGCUCCUGCCUGUUACAAUCCAAAUAUUAUUAAUGAAAAACCAAAAUUUGCUUCGAAUCUAAACGUGUCAAAUAUAAUUAUUUGUCAAAUAUUCGCAACUUAGGCCCACCUCCGGCAAAGAGAGGUCACUCGCACAUUAGGAAAUGCGCUUACUUGAAUGCGUGAACUAACUGCUCUACGUGCUCAUAUUUAUGCAAACACUGAAACUGACUUCUGCUCUUCUUUUAUUUUCUUUUCAUUUCUUGCAUUACUAUAUUAUUAUUCACCAAAGAAGAAGAGGUUGUUUUGUGUUGACUGAAAACUGGUGGAACCACGAUACAAUUUGAGAUCGAAAGGGAAGAUGUCUUCGAUAGAUGACCCGAUCGGACACGCUUUGGUACUAGCUGAUAGCCCAGGGCAAUUGGGAAAAAGGAUAGUACUCGGAACAACGAACAUGUUGCUAGGAUGGUACAAUAGAUGGAAUCGUUGAGAGAGGAAGUACAACACAUUCAGGAACUGGCGCAUCUGGUCGUGACGAUGCUCCUACAACCACCCUGCUUUGUUUCACUAGAUUCGAUCCUCGAUCACUUUCCUUCAAUUACCCACCAAGCAAACAAUAGCCCAACUUCAGUCACUAUAAUCCAGAUUAUACCUCCAGUAACCCUUGCAAACCCACCAAAUCCUUCCAUAGAUACCCUUAUGUACCAAAUUAUGUUUAGACACUGCAAAAUCUACCAGUCACUACCAAUACAGUUCAUACCCAUCCUCGCAACGGCGUCACCUUUGCCAACAAUCAUAACCAGCAUAUACCUGCGGCAUACACUGCCGCACAUGAGCGAUAUUUUCAACUCGUAUAUGCCGUUUACGAAUCAACCUUCACAACGGCCAUCACAGUCAGAUUGCCUUAUGAAGUCCAUCAGUAUGCCCAAAUAGAGAAGGAAGAUAAGUAUAAAGAGGAAGAAUCCGUAUCAAAACAGCUGCGAGCAUUAAGGAAACAAAUGAAGAACCUUAAGGUUGCUCGAGGGAGCGAAAGUCUAGAUUACGAGGAUCUGUGUAUACACUCUGAUGUGGACAUACCAGUAGCGUAAAAGCCUCCGAAGUUUGACAUCUUUGAUGGGACAUGUGAUCCCCAUGCACACUUGAGAGCCUACUGCGAUAAGCUAGUUAGAGUAGGAAGAAAUGAGAAGUUAAGGUUGAAACUAUUUAUAAGAAGUUUGAGAGGAGAGGCACUCACUUGGUACACCCGCCAGGAUCCCAGAAAUUGGAGAGAGUGGCAAGAUAUGGUAGAAGAUUUCAUGAACCAUUUUCGGUUCAACACAUAAAUUACUUCAGAUAGGUUUGCCCUAGUAAAUUUACAGAAAAAGCCGUCAGAAUCAUUUCAGGAGUAUGCCCGUCGAUGGAGGUCAGAGGCCUCUAGGACCCAGCCCCCGCUAGAUGACAACGAGCUGACCAAAUACUUCAUCAGGGCUCAAGAAGGAAUCUACUUUGAAAAGAUGAUGAGCAUGAUGGGGCAGAAGUUCCCCGAACUUGUCAAAAUGGGAAACUUUCUAGAGGAAGGCACCAAGUCCGGCAAGAUACAAUCUAUGGCCGCAUUGCAAACAACUAGCAAAGCAAUUCAAUCCGGUUUGAUAGGCAGCGAAAAGAAGAAUAAAGAAGUGGUAUCAACAAUCGUUCCCUAUUACCAGUCCAAUUCACCCCAUGGAAAUAACUCAUACUCUCCGAGCACCCAUCCUCCACACCCACCUACUUAUGCUCCAAAUAUACAACACUCAACCAUAUUAUAAUCCCCAACCUCAAUAUAGCCCACCUCGUGUCCAUAUAAAUCCAAAUCCACCACGACCAUACACUCUAGUUCAUACCACCACCAUCAUAAUCGACCCACCUAUGCACCCCGAGCUCGCCCAAAUUUCAAAGAAAGAGGUCCCAGAAACUACACCCCGAUUGCAAAACCAUUGGCUCAAUUGUUUGAAAGAUUGAGGAGAUCUGGAUUUAUAUCCGGUAUAAGGGAGGAUUCCUGAACACCCUUCAAAAUACUUUGAUGUAACUAAAUGAUGCGUCUACCAUUCAGGUGUACCGGGACAUGAUACCGAGGAUUGCUUCAGGCUGAAAAAUGAAAUUGAGUCACUGAUCAAAAGUGGAGCCAUUUAGUGCACCCUAGCUCUACUAAAUGUGAACCGUAACCCACUGCCAAACCACAAGAACCAAGGAGCUAAUAUGAUCACCUUGGACGAGGAGUAUGACUUGAAAGGGACCAUCGUCACAGUAGGAAACACUAAGGCUACAAUGGUUCCACCCCGAAGAACUCUGACGAUCACUGUAUAGUUAAAACCUCCAGUGAUGGUCCAGACAUACCAGCAAUAGUCCACCGCCGUUAAUAGGAAUGAGGAGGAUCGGGAAUACAAGCAGUCUCAUGGUCAUAUUAGCAUAAAGAGAAAGGCAAGAUGACGAAUUUCACAGCAGCCCAUGUAAUGACCAGGUCAGGGAGGUGUUACGCUCCGGAGGAGGUAAACUGAGGAAAUCCAGGAAGGGAAUAGAUUCAGAGGAGGAACAGAACAAAUUCUAAGGCCGCAGAAUUUUGGAAGAAGUUUUCAGCUAAAGAAUACUCUAUGGAGGAGCAAUUGAAGAAAACCCCUGCACAUAUAUCAUUCAUGGACCUGCUAAUGAAUUAUGACAAUCAUGAAGAUGCCUUGAUGAAGGUGUUAAGUAGAGUGAGUGUGUUGGUCAAUUGAGGCUUGAACCGUGCAUGUACCUUUAUGUCAAUUGCCUUCUUGAACGCUUAGACAUUCCCUUUGAUGAAAUAAAAGAAUUGCUUUCUUAAAAUUAUCGCAAACUUAUUUAUCGCUUCAUUUAUACUUAGAUUUUCUUUUCAGUAAUCAAAAUGAUAAGAAACCACAUUUUGUGAUUAUGACAUGUAAUGAAACUCUCGAGCAAAGCGAUCCAGACUUCGAGGAGUACGACGAAAGCAUGAUGCUAGAUAAUCUCCCACAAGAGAUCGGGCAGUUGGAAAGCCAGAAAAGCCCAACCUUAAAGAGACUGAAGUAGUCAACCUGGGAAGCGAAGAAGAUAUGAAAGAAACUCGAAUCAGCAUCCAUUUAGAAGUGGAGCAGAAAGAAGUACUGGUCGAGCUCCUCGGACAAUACAUCGACGUAUUUGCGUGGUCAUAUGACGACGUGCUCGGAUUGAGUACUGACAUCAUUUUACAUCGGUUGCCUACUGAUCCUGCCAGACCGCCAGUCAAACAAAAACCCAGAAAGUUCAAGCCGGAUUUGAGUUUGAGGAUAAAAGAAGAAGUGACCAAGCAGAUAGAGGCAAACAUGGUGAUGGUCACAAAUUAUCCCGCAUGGCUGGCGAAUAUCAUACCGGUGCUAAAGAAGGAUGUGAAGAUUUAGGAUAUGUGUGGACUAUCGACAUCUUAACAAGGCUAGUCCAAAAGACAAUUUCCCUUUACCAAACAUCCAUAUCCUCAUCGACAAUUGUGCGAAGAACAAGCUGCAGUCAUUCAUGUAUUGUUUUGUCGGGUACAAUCAGAUCCAGAUGCAUGAAGAAGAUGUGGAGAAGACAAUGUUCACUUCUUCUUGGGGAGUUUAUUGCUACAGAGUCAUGCCGUUCGGCCUCAAGAACACUAGUGCUACUUACAUGAGGUCCAUAAUGACCCUCUUUCAUGACAUGAUCCACAAGGAAAUCGAGGUAUAUAUGGACGACGUCAUCAUCAAAUCUCGAAAGAGUGCAGAGCAUUUGGAGGACCUUAAGAAGUUUUUCGAACUUUUGCGGAGGUACAAUCUGAAGUUGAAUCCCGCAAAAUAUGCAUUCAGAGUCCCCGCCGGGAAACUGUUAGGUUUCAUUAUGAGCAGGAACGAGAUAGAGUUGGAUCCUUCAAAUAUCAAAGCCAUUCAAGACUUACCGCCUCCUAAGAGCAAGAAGUAUGUGAUGAGUUUCCUUAGCAGAUUAAAUUACAUCAGCAGAUUCAUAGCCCAGUCUACGAUAAUUUGCGAUCCCAUCUUCAAGUUGCUGAAAAAGGAUGCUGCUACAAAAUGGACAGAAGAGUGUCAAAAAGCUUUCAAUAAGAUCAAGGAGUACUUGUCAAAUCCAUAAGUAUUGGUUCCCCCCGAGCUCGGGAAGCCACUAUUAUUAUAUUUGUAAGGUUUGGACAAUGCAUUUGGAUGCGUGUUGGGACAACACGAUGAGACCGGGAGGGAAGAGUAGGCUAUCUACUACCUGAGCAAGAAGUUUACACAAUGUGAAGUCAAAUAGACUGAUAGAGCGUACCUGCAGCACUUUGACUGGGAUCACCCAGAAGUUGAGGCACUACAUGUCAGCAUACACCAAAUAUCUGAUAUUCCAGCUCGACCCACUCAAGUACAUCUUUCAGAAGCCGAUGCCUACAGGAAAACUAGCCAAAUGGCAGAUACUUCUCAGCGAGUUCGACAUUGUGUACCUAACGCAAAAGGUCAUCAAAGGACAAACUUUAUCCAAUCACCUUGUAGAGAAUCCAGUGGACAAGGAUUAUGAGCCGCUUACUACAUACUUUCCGAAUGAAUAAGUGUUGUUCCCCAGAGAAGACUUCGCAGAGUCAUACCCAGGAUGGAGAAUGUUCUUCGACGGAGCAACAAAUUUCAAAGGAGUAGGAAUUUAGGCAGUCUUAAUUUCAAAAUCCGGACAGCAUUACUCGGCAUCAGCAAAGAUAAGGUUCACCUACAUCCAUAAUACAGCCGCGUAUGAAGCAUGCAUCCUCGGGAUUAGGAUGGCAAUCGACAUGAACAUCCAGGAGCUUCUUGUCAUAGAAGAUUCUGAUUUGUUGAUACAUCAAGUCUAAGGAGAAUAAACUACCAAAAAUGACAAGAUCCUUCCGUACCUGCAUUGCGUAAAUGAGUUAUGCAAGUAGUUCACAAAGAUCGAGUUCAAACACAAUCCCAGUAUCCAGAACGAGUUUGCCAAUGCUCUCGCAACCUUGUCAUCCAUGAUCCAACAUCCAAGUAAGAAUUGCAUCGAUCCUAUUGAGAUAGAGGUCCGGGAUCAGCAUGCGUACUAUUUCCAUGUAGAUGAAGAGCCAGAUGGUAAGUUCUGGUACUACGACAUCAAGAGGUUUCUGGAAAUAAGAGAGUACCUAGAGAAUGCCACCAAUGGUCUGAAGCGAGCACUCACAUGACUAGAAAAUCACUUUUUCCUCAACGGGGAAGUCUUGUAUAGGAGGACCCCGAACUUGGGUCUGUUAAGAUGUGUAGAUGCUGCUAAAGCAACCAAAUUGCUAGAAGAAGUACAUGCAGGGACAUGUUGUCACGACCCAAAUCGAUGGGCUGCGACGAGCACCCGGUACCUUACUAAACUGAGUACCAACAUAACAUAUCUUUUCGUAUCAUACUAUCAUAGGAAAAUGAGACGGAAAAGCUGCCGUGAGAUAACUAGAAUAAAACAUGUAAUACCAACUUAUACAUAAGACAUACGACCUAUAAGACCAAAACGAUCACUCGUACACUGAACAUAGGCCGAUAAGUCCAUACAAUCUUUCAUAUACAUGCCAUCUAUCUACAAGCCUCUAAGAAUACAUAAUUGUCAUAAAGGACGGGACAGAGCCCAGCCAUAGCAAUCAAUACAUAUCCUAAUCAUACUGACCAAAUAGCAUCUCCGGAGCAAAUGGAGCGCACCAACACCUUCCGCUGAGCUGAUAGCUUACUUGGAGGGCUCUCAACCUGUCUAUCGGGACCUCUGGGCAUGAAACACAACAUCCCCAAGCAAAGGGACAUUAGUACAAAUAAUGUACCAAGUAUGUAAGUAAUGAAAAUCAGUAAAUAAUAGACAUGAGAGAAACAUGGAGUAAAAGACUCAACAUGUAAGUCUGAAUAAAUUUGUGAAUCAUUAGCAUUUACAAUGUCAUGCAUAUGCGUAUAAAUGUCAUACCAUGAUUAGGUAUAUACGUUCAUAACAUCAUCAAGCCUCUGAGGUCAUCCCAUCAUAUCAUCUUGGCCAUUGUGGGUAAAUCAUCAACGUAUACCAACUGAUCAGGUCGUGGUGCGUAUAUAACGUUGUAAUCUUUUUCCCAUAUCCCAUAUACAUAUAAUAUACGCGUUUAUAGUGCCAUCUGGUCAUGGGUCAAUGUACAUGUAUAAAUGAAUGAAAUGCAUAUGAAAUAUGUCAAUAAAAUAUCUCGGAACGUCAUAGGACCAUUAUGCCUUUGGUUAAUGUCAUGAAAUAAACUUUAUCAAUUUACGUAUUUUCUGNNNNNNNNNNNNNNNNNNNNNNNNNNNNNNNNNNNNNNNNNNNNNNNNNNNNNNNNNNNNNNNNNNNNNNNNNNNNNNNNNNNNNNNNNNNNNNNNNNNNNNNNNNNNNNNNNNNNNNNNNNNNNNNNNNNNNNNNNNNNNNNNNNNNNNNNNNNNNNNNNNNNNNNNNNNNNNNNNNNNNNNNNNNNNNNNNNNNNNNNNNNNNNNNNNNNNNNNNNNNNNNNNNNNNNNNNNNNNNNNNNNNNNNNNNNNNNNGCUAGUUUUAUUUGUAUCAUUUGGAUCAUGCCAAAAAUAAAGAAGGGAUAGCCUUAACAUUCCUGAGUCGAUUCUCUUGACAAUCCCUCUAACACACGUCUUUUGCGAAAACACGUAACGAUGGAUCGAAGUAGAGAAAAAUCCGUAUGAUGUUCUUGAGAAAGAUUAUACCGGGCUCCCUUAGAAUUGCAUCUUACGCUGCUAUUACAUGAUAUAAUCUAGUAUAAUUUGCUGAAGCUUCAUCCGUCACUUAGUAAAUAUGACCAUCUUCAUUUUAUGAUUUUAGAGAAGGCUUUUGUUGUAGCUAAUCACGUUACCAUUGCAAAUCUAUAUCUUAUCUCUCUUAAAUGAAUUAGAGAGACUCCUUAUUAUAGUGGUGUGGGCCCCACUUGAUGUGGUGGCUUAACCACAUACCUUUAAUUUGCCACCUUUUCCUAAUGACUUAAGAGUCAUGAAUCUGUAGGUGGCUUGCUGCCACGUUGGGGGGAGGGGGGGGGGGUUAAUCUUACCCAAAUUCUUUAAUUAAUCUCCCACUAAAAAUUAAUAAUUAAAUAAUUAUCCACAUAAUUAAAAAUUAUCUCAAAUUACUUAAAAUACUACUCACUUUCAACACACUUUAUAUACCUUACUAUCAUGGUCAUGUGAUACGUUGUAUGGCACUAGUUCAUAAAUAUCGGGUAUUUUAUCUCUGGCCGUAUUUUAUCACAAAUUGACAACCUUCAACGAAAUUCAGUUUCUUUGAUUUGUUUACCCUUUAACCUUCACGAAUUUACUUAUCACUUGUUUUAAAUAGUGUAAUACUUAUAAUCUCAAAAUAAUCUCAUUCCCGAGCUUACGUCGAUUACCUUACGAUGAAACUUUAAUGCACAAAAAUGCGGGAUGUAACAUCUCAUUUCUGAGCUUAUAUCAAUUUAUUUAUGGCGUACUUCCACGUACAAAAAUAUGGGGUGUAACAUCAUUCCCCCCUUUGGAACAUUCGCCCUCGAAUGUUGACUGAUACACUUAUCAUUUUUAUAACCUAUGUCUUCUGAAUACUUUAGUACUCUUCUUGCCAUCUAGGCAACUGUUCUAUGAAUAAAUCCAAAGGCCAGAGCAUUUCCCCCUUUAGGCCUCUUGCUUACACCAUGACUUGUGGUCGGAAUCUUUCCAAUCUUGUAACUAUUGCUACCUUCUGUCAUGCAGCCUGUACCACGUUUUCCUUGUAUGGGCGCUUAUGCGACUCUUCCCCUCCAGAUUUUUCCUCCAGUUUUUUGCCAAUCUCUAGGCCUCACUUUGUAAACAUAUACAUAGCUUGACAAGAUAUCCCUCUGGGCAUCUAUAGGUAUACUGACAUUCUUCGCUCGGUACUUUGUUGAACUUACGAAUAUCGUUAUAUCUUAUUUCAUAGACCCGGUUAUCCCUCCGUUGUUGAUUCACCUCAAUAUUGAUCUACAAUUUACCACUGAUACCUUGAAACCUCUUACGUAAUCACUAGGGCUCACGUUGUAUCGUGAAACAUUUGAAGUGAUUUUCCUGAUCCACCUGGGGGCGAUACAAUACUAUACUUCCAAAAUCGUAUUUCAUAGCAUCCCGAUGUGAUUCACCUUAUGUGGGUAUUUUAAUCCUGUACAAUUACAUGGAAUCCCCUUUUUCUUUUUCUUUUCUUUUUUCCUUCAAAUCUUUACUCAAUCAAAAGCCCAAAUGUCAUCCUUUAUCUAUCACAAUUACACCCUUAUUCUACUACCAGGGAAGCAUUUCGUCUCUUCUAAAUGCUAUUAGUCUUAGACUCCUUUGAGUUCAUUCAUGCUAUACUGAACUUUCUAUAACUUAUAGAAACAAUUAGCUCUCUUGGUUUCAUGGGCUUAAUCCCGAGGACUUAUCCAUUCUCGCCACCUUCUUAGUUGCCCUUCCUCAUCCUUACUCAUGUCUUCCUAAAACCUUGCGCUCUACCAUACUUUAGCUUGCGACCUACACAUAUCCAUUUAUACUACUCGAAACCUUCCUUCAACUUGCUUGUAUCAUAUAUUUCCUUAUGUUAUUCUGGAACAUCAAGCGAGAUAUCAUAUCAUCUCAAACUCUUCUUUACUCUUUUAACUAGACCUCUCGAUACCUAGAAACCAUAGGCUGGAAAAUAUGCCACUGACGAUGCUGCUAUCAUUCAUGGAUACUAAUUCCUAGCGCUUCUAGCCUUCUAUCUGAAGUAUGGACUAUUUACAACCUUCUGCAUUUGAGUAUCUCGUACGUUGUCCACAUUUACCUUACUUUACCUUAAAGUCUCGCAUCAUAUCUUCUAUCUCUUUCAUGACCUCCCUUCCACAUAGGCAUCAUUCACAUCCAUAAUUUGAAGCUCUAUUAUAAUACUUGCACCUCUGGUGCAUACACAAUCCGGUGGGAGCUUCAUACUGACUUCUUAUAAGGCUAGUACUCUUUUAACUGGCUUUAUCGUAGAGCCGUUAUAGAAUAUGAUUACUGUACUAUCUUUCUUGUACCUAUGAUAUUAAGAGUGAUUCUGCAAUGAUCCCAAUUAUGAUGUCCAUAAUUUUCUGGGUCCAAUAAUCAGAUUCCUAAUUUACUUAGUUGAUGUAACUCUUUAGUUUCCUCUCCCUUCUGAUCAGCCUUUAUGUAGGCUUAAGUUAUCUUCCGAUCUACGUCUCCUGGUAUUAGCUAUUACUUUAGCCUUUCAUGGGCGCUAUGGAAUAUUCAUGAUACAAUCUUUUAACAAUUCAAUCCCUUGUCUAUGACCUGGACUCAAUUCUUUCUUUUAACAUAUACCAGAGUCUUCUACAACUGUAUGAUUGUCAACAUAUAUGUUGCAUGGAUAAUACUCCGAACUAUUAAGUGCGUUCAUAACGUAACUCACUCUAGAUCAUUGAUCGAAUAAUUCCUUUCGUUCCUUCUCAGAUUUCUUUAAAGGUAAGCUAUUACCUUUCCUGGUCUUUCUUCCCCUUGUUUCAUGCAUACUUAGCUUAUCUUAGUUCCCACGCAUGCCAGAAUUUUCGUGCAACUCAUGUGAUCUCGAUUAUUACUUUUGAUUUUUACUUCCCGUUCACUAGCCACGGUAGGUGCCACUUUUUUAUGGAGUGCAUACAAUGUUGUAUUAAAACUGGUUUUACAUGGCCAUUUCUUUUUCAGGUUACUAUGCUUAGGUUGAAGCCUUCUUUCAUAUUUCCUCAGCUAAUCUUUCAUUGUAGUACUUAAGAAGGACCCUCUGACUCUUGUAAAGCUGCGAGCUUAUUACAUCGUAUAUUCGACAAGAUUUUUGAUGUCCUUCCUCGCUUAUAAUUAUCCGUAGUUACUUACCUCCAUGCCCUUGUGCUUGUAGGGUUGCUUCUGAACUGAUAUUUUGACUGUUUCCUAGUUGCACUCUCUUUUAUUUUCGUAACACUUAUACGACACCUUUAACUACCCCUACUCAUAUCUGAAUAUUUCUCAAGGUCACGAUGUCAUAUUUGCGAGACUGAUUUUCACAUGUUGGGGUUCAUUAUGUUCAUCUUGCACGAUCUGUUGAUUUGUCUGUAUCCUCUUGUCUAACCAUAACUAGGCUCUUCCUGGAUUAACUACUAACUACUCAUUGGCCCAUUCUCACAUGAAUAUUCUGUGUGAUCUUUCUUGGGUUAUUUCCUUUGUCUUAAUUUACUUCUCGCACUGGCUCCUUAUCUAUCAAUAACAUCUCAGGAAGGAACCCUUACUUUCUCUCCUUGACAUCGUGUUUGCAUAACGUUCUAGAAUCAUAGCAUAUCUGUAGGAUUUGGAUAAGUGCAAUCUCAUUCAUUUCUCAUUUUUUAUCGCAUUCUUCCUUUACUAUUCCAUAGUUACUAGAACCACUUAAUUCUGACUUAAUGCCACAUCACUCCAUAUUUCCCCCUUUAGUGGAGUACUAAGAUUUAGCGUUACGACGAUCUACCUAUAGAUGUUUUACCUCUUUAUCUGUGGCAUCUUUUCACAUUAUCGAUGGCCCUAACUCGCCUUGCGGUAAUCCUUCUGUGCCAAGGAUAACGAAAAUUCCUUACUCGCGAGGGUGUCACUUAGUGUAACUGGUACAUAUAGUCCCUUAAGCUUNNNNNNNNNNNNNNNNNNNNNNNNNNNNNNNNNNNNNNNNNNNNNNNNNNNNNNNNNNNNNNNNNNNNNNNNNNNNNNNNNNNNNNNNNNNNNNNNNNNNNNNNNNNNNNNNNNNNNNNNNNNNNNNNNNNNNNNNNNNNNNNNNNNNNNNNNNNNNNNNNNNNNNNNNNNNNNNNNNNNNNNNNNNNNNNNNNNNNNNNNNNNNNNNNNNNNNNNNNNNNNNNNNNNNNNNNNNNNNNNNNNNNNNNNNNNNNNNNNNNNNNNNNNNNNNNNNNNNNNNNNNNNNNNNNNNNNNNNNNNNNNNNNNNNNNNNNNNNNNNNNNNNNNNNNNNNNNNNNNNNNNNNNNNNNNNNNNNNNNNNNNNNNNNNNNNNNNNNNNNNNNNNNNNNNNNNNNNNNNNNNNNNNNNNNNNNNNNNNNNNNNNNNNNNNNNNNNNNNNNNNNNNNNNNNNNNNNNNNNNNNNNNNNNNNNNNNNNNNNNNNNNNNNNNNNNNNNNNNNNNNNNNNNNNNNNNNNNNNNNNNNNNNNNNNNNNNNNNNNNNNNNNNNNNNNNNNNNNNNNNNNNNNNNNNNNNNNNNNNNNNNNNNNNNNNNNNNNNNNNNNNNNNNNNNNNNNNNNNNNNNNNNNNNNNNNNNNNNNNNNNNNNNNNNNNNNNNNNNNNNNNNNNNNNNNNNNNNNNNNNNNNNNNNNNNNNNNNNNNNNNNNNNNNNNNNNNNNNNNNNNNNNNNNNNNNNNNNNNNNNNNNNNNNNNNNNNNNNNNNNNNNNNNNNNNNNNNNNNNNNNNNNNNNNNNNNNNNNNNNNNNNNNNNNNNNNNNNNNNNNNNNNNNNNNNNNNNNNNNNNNNNNNNNNNNNNNNNNNNNNNNNNNNNNNNNNNNNNNNNNNNNNNNNNNNNNNNNNNNNNNNNNNNNNNNNNNNNNNNNNNNNNNNNNNNNNNNNNNNNAUAUAUAUAUUUGAUAUCCAUGUAUCACAUCUUACUCAUAAUGCUUCAUUAACUCUCUUCUUAUUUCCCUGCUAACAAAUCUGUCUAUUACUUUAUUCUGAAAACUUCAACAAGACAUUCUUUUGCUUUUAGCUCCCCUUGCUCCAUCCACUGGCUCUUCGGGUUGCCUAACAUUCUCUCUCUACUAGGGACGGGAGUCAUACUAAGAUAAUAUUUAUCCCUUCCAGGCUUCCAAUGCUUAUCUUUGUAGUACUCAUAUCUAGCUGUACUAUUUAGAGUGCACCAUCUGGGUGUCUCACAAGGAGAUCUAUUAGCACAUUUGCAAUAUCCUUCGGAAUGUCAACUAACGCAAACAAUCCAUCCACUAUUUUGGGUUACCCUAACCCCAGUUAGAUCCUGAUAUCCUUCCUUCUCUUAUACUACUUCUGUUAGCCCCCAUAUGGCAUAAAUGAGAUGGGUGUGGCCGAUUGUACAUACCUCUGCUACUGUUGAAGGUAACUCAAAAUGCUUAUAUCUCCCUUCCUGAAUGGUUAAUAAUGAUAAUCUUCACUAGCUGGGUAUCUCGAACCCUUUUUCAUCUUGCUUCUUUUACUUGUUGAAAUUUGUAUCUAUCUUCUAAAUCUCUUAUUUCCUUUCACCAUAGGGGUGGAUAUAUAUCCUUGCCUUAAGGCUUCUUAUCAAGAGGCUUACACGUCUUAGUACCCACAUGAUCUACUGAAUACCUCAUAUUUAUCCAUCAUAUGCAUGAUGCAAAAUCGAGUCCCUCUGACUCAACUCUUCCACAGCCACAUGCAAUCCCUUACCAACCGUCUUUCUAGAUAUAGGCAUCACCGUAUUAUGAAUAAGACAGAUUUUAGGAAACUGAGUUCUUACAAUUGAGCUCUACCACACGAUCUAGAGUAAGAAGAAAGAGUGACAGUCCUAAAUGCCCUGUAUCCUUCUGCUUAUAAGUGUGGUGCACAACACACCCAUAAAUAAGACUCUACUAGACAUGAUUUGUAGACUCCCUAGAACAGAACUGCUCUGAUACCACUUUUGUCACGACCAAAACCGAUGGGCCGCAAUGGGCACCCGGUACCUUACUCAACUGAGUACCAACAUAAUGUAUCUUUUCGUAUCAUACUAUCAUAGAAAAAUGAGACGGAAAAGCUGCUAUGAGAUAACUAGAAUAAAACAUGUAAUACCAACUUAUACAUAAGACAUACGGCCUAUAAGACCAAAAUGAUCACUCGUACACUGAACAGAGGCCGAUAAAUCCAUACAAUCUUUCAUAUACAUACCAUCUGUCUACAAGCUUCUAAGAAUACAUAAUUUUCAUAAAGGGAGGGACAGAGCCCCGCCAUACCAAUCAAUACAUGUCCUAAUCAUACUGACCAAAUAACAACUCCGGAGCAAAUGGAGCGCACCAACACCUUCCGCUGAGUUGAAAGCUUACUUGGAGGGCUCUCAACCUGUCUAUCGGGACCUGCGGGCAUGAAACGCACUAUCCCCAGGCAAAGGGAUGUCAGUACAAAUAAUGUACCUAGCAUAUAAGGAAUGAAAAUCAGUAAAUAAUAGACAUGAGAGUAACAUAGAGUAAACGACUCAACAUGUAAGUCUAAAUAACUUUGUGAAUCAUUAGCAUUUACAAUGUGAUGCAUAUGCAUAUAAAUGUCAUACCAUGCUUAGGUAUAUACGUGCAUAACAUCAUCAAGCCUCUAAGGGCAUCCCAUUAUAUCAUCUCAGCCACUGUAGGCAAAUCAUCAACGUAUACCAACUGAUCAGGUGGUGGUGCGUAUAUAACGCCGUAACCUUUUUCCAUAUUCCAUAUACAUAUAAUAUACAUGUAUAUAACGCCAUAUGGUCAUGGGUCAAUGUACAUGUAUAAAUGAAUAAAUGCAUAUGAAAUAUGUCAAUAAAAGCUCUCGGAACGUCAUAGGACCAUUAUGCCUUUGAUUAAUGUCAUGAAAUAAACUUUAUCAAUUUACGUAUUUUUUAAGACCCAUGAACAGAUGAUAGAAUAAUAAGACACAUGGGAAAUCAAGAAUGUAGACACCCCUAGUAUUUCUAUGAAUAGAGUCAUUUAUGAAAGUUGCGUAUUUUUCUCGUUUCAUUUGUAUCAUUUGGAUCAUGACAAAAAGAAAGAAGGUAUAGCCUUAACAUACCUGAGCCGAAUCUCUUGACAAUCCCUCUAACACACGUCUUUUGCGAAAACACGUAAUGACAGAUCGAAAUAGAGAAAUAUCCGUAUGAUAUUCUUGAGAAAGAUUAUACCGGGCUCCCUUAGAAUUGCAUCUUACGCUGCUAUUACAUGAUAUAAUCUAGUAUAAUUUGCUGAAGCUUCAUCCGUCACUUAGUGAAUAUGACCAUAUUCAUUUUAUGAUUUUAGAGAAGCCUUUUGUUGUAGCUAAUCACGUUACCAUUGCAAAUCUGUAUCAUAUAUCUCUUAAAUGAAUUAGAAAGGCUCCUUAUUAUAGUGGUGUGGGCACCACUUGAUGUGGUGGCUUAACCACAUACCUUUAAUUUUCCACCUUUUCCUAAUGACUAAGAGUCAUGAAUCUUGGGGUGGCUUGCUGCCACGUGGGGGGGGGGGUUAAUCUUACCCAAAUUCUUUAAUUAAUCUCCCUCUAAAAAUUAAUAGUUAACCAAUUAUCCACAUAAUUAAGAAUUAUCUCAAAUUACUUAAAAUACUACUCACUUUCAACACACUUUAUAUACCUUACUAUCAUGGUCAUGUGGUAUCUUGUAUGGCACCAGUCCAUAAAUACCGAGUAUUUUUGCCCGGGCCGUAUUUUAUCCCAAAUUGACAACCUUCUACGAAAUUCAUUUUCUUUGAUUCGUUACCCUUCAACCUUCACGAAUUUACUUAUCAUUUGUUUGAAAUAGUGUAAUACUUAUAAUCUCAAAAUAAUCUCAUUCCCGAGCUUACGUCGAUUAACUUACGACGAAACUUUAACGUACGAAAAUGCGGGAUGUAACAUCUCAUUUUAGAGCUUAUAUCAAUUUACUUUUGGCGUACUUUCACGUAUGAAAACAUGGGCUGUAACACAUGUGAACCUCACAUGAACAACUUCACCUUAACCUUGGAGAGCGAUAGCAUUCGCUACGUACGAAAGUGUCACUAGUGCCAGAUUCACGGGGAUUUUAUCCGGGUUCCACCUAAUGAGUUGAAUGUAAUGGGAUCGCCAUAGCCCUUCCCCGCUUGAGGCAUGGACGUAAUCAGACUUAUAGAACUCGCUGCAUCAAAUGGACACCAUUUCAUCUUGGUACACAUUGACUACUUCACCAAAUGGGUCGAAACUUCUACAUACAAGGCCGUCACGAAGAAAGUAGUGGCAUAUUUCGUCUGUAACAUCAUAGUUUACUGAUUCGGAAUACUAAAAUCGUUCAUCACUGACAAUGCAGCCAAUCUUAACAGUGCCUCAUGAGGGAUAUUUGUGAGAAAUUCAGAAUCGUCCAUCGUAACUCUACAACCUAUAGACAGUAAAUGAAUGGGGCAGUUGAAGCAGCCAACAAGAACAUCAAAAGAAUUCUAUGAAAAAUAGUGGACAAUCAUAGGCAAUGUCGCGAAAAACUAUCCUUCUCCUUACUAGGAUAUCAAACCACCAUGAGAACAUCCACUAGAGAAAUGCCCUACAUGCUGGUAUAUGGCACCGAAGCUGUGAUACCCGCAGAGGUCGAGAUACCAUCCUUGAGAGUCAUUUAGGAAGCCAACUCAUGCUCAUUGAUGAAAAGAGAAUGGACGCAGUGUGCCAUGGUGAGCUGUAUCAAAAUAAAAUGGCCAGUGCAUUCAACAAGAGGGUGAAACCUCGUCAAUUUACGCCGGGGUAGUUGGUCUUGUAGAAGAUAUUCCCUCAUCAAGAAGAAGCCAAAGGAAAGUUUAUGCCAAAUUGGCAGGGUCCUUAUGUGGUGCAUCGAGUAUUAUCAGGAGGAGCUCUAAUCUUAGCAGAGAUGGAUGGAAGAGUCAGCACGAAGCCUAUCAACUCAGAUGCAAUCAAGAGAUAUAUUUGAAGACAGUAGAGUUAGAUUUUGGUUGUAACAGAACUACGUCCGACCCGACUUCCCAAGGUGGGAUACGUAGGCAACCCACCUGGUGUCUCUCCCCCUCUUUUUUUGUAAUAGAAAAUCCAAAUAUCAUUUUGUAUGUAUCCUGAACUAUGCCACAACAUGAUUUCAUUCGGCAAGAAUACAUAUGAAAUCCUUAUCGGAUUCAGUCAUCUAUUAUAAUCCUCAUCGGAUUCAGUCAUCUAUUAUAAUUGAACUACGUUCUGGCCUGAUUCCAAUUGGAUGCGUAGGCAUUCUGAGUCAGACUCGGCCACUUCAUUUUCAAUCUCAUCAUUUUGUAUCUAUAGUAAUUGAACUACAUUUUAACCUGAUUCCAUUUGGAUACGUAAGAUGACUGAGUCAGGCUCGGUCAUCAUCAUAAUUUCUCAUUACCCACGAACUACGUUCAGACCUGAUUCCAUUUCGGAUUCGUAGACAACCUUAAAAGGUUCGUUUGUAACCCUAGGAAAACCUUUGUAACACAUUCAUUUAGAUUAGGAUGCAAUCGCAGCAACAAGAAAGCUACAUCAUCAAGGGCAUCUCCGAGAAUUGAUGUCAACGAGACAGAGUGUUUUAGAAACAAUGUUCGCAUCUAAUGGAAUUUCUAAAUAUGUCAUAAUCCAAAACGAUGACAUUUGCCAUAAAAGUGAAUGAUUUUCAAAAUGUUUUCUAAAUAUUUUUCAAAACUAUCAUUCCACCUGCUGAAAUUCAUGGCAUAACCUCACCAGGCUCAGGGCAAAGCAAAGACUACGGUCAAUACAAACCAACACCCCUCUGCUAAGAAUUUUUCUUUGAACGCAGGAACGACAAGAUACACUAAACUCUGGGGAACGCUGGGGCAAUGACGGAUCCGCUACACUCUCAUAUCUAUCAUCCUCUUUAAUUAUUUAAAUUUUCCUCAUAUAUCUGAAGACUAACUCUCAAAUCCUUUGCAGGUAUUCUGGAACCAGGUCACCGAUACGAUCGGGGCAUAUCGUAAAUAGCAAACCAUAUGCUCAACCAAGUGGAGAACUUUGUAUAUAGUGAGCUGCUAGCCCCGCCAACCGGAGUCAUGUAUAUAGCAAACUGUCAGCUCAAUCAAUCAGAGUGUCCUGUACAAAUCGAGUCGUCGUCUUGGCCAAUCAAAGCCCUCUAUAUAGCAAAUUGUUCGCUUUGCCAACCGUAGCAUUUCACAUUGUCACUCUGCCAUAUCGGAGAUUGCAAAUAGAUAGUCGCAGACUUCAUCACCAACUUCGUGAAUUGAAGGAUAGUCGUCCAAUCCCGCCAUACGUUUUUUCAAUCGACAUCCGUGAUUAGUUUGCAGUCAACAGUACCUCUUGGGCAUACUCCUUAUUACUUUAUUUUAUCUCAAAUAUUUUGACAUUUUGCUCGUUCAACUUACAUGCAUAUUACAUUUUUUCAAGUUAGAAACUCCCAUCAUGCGGAGAUAAAUUCUACAUUUUCAAGUUAGAAACUCCCAUCAUGCAGAGAUACUUUUUACAUUAUCAAGUCAACUACUCCCAUCAUACGAAGAUACAUUUUACAUUACAAGUCAACUACUCCCAUAGCACGAAGAUACUCCCAACGUGAGGAGACUUAAUGCUCUGAUAGCUGCAAAAUGGUACACAUCCCGGGUAACAAUUGAGUCAAAUUCAAGUAUCCCGUCAUCCUGAUCCCAAAUAAUGGCUAGCCGGCAGCCAUGCAUCAUCAUUCCUGUAUCAUUUACAUUACAUCUUGACAUAUCUGUAUUACGAUAUUAUCACGACCCAAACCGAUGGGCCGCGACGGGCACCCAGUACCUUACUCAACUGAGUACUAACAUAACGUAUCUUUUCGUAUCAUACUAUCAUAGAUAACUGAGCUGGAGAGGUUGCCAUGAGAUAAGUAGAAUACAACAUGUAAUACCAACUUAUAAAUAAGACAUACGGGCUUGUAAGACCAAAAUAACCACUCGUACACUGAACAUAGGCCAACAAGGCCAUGCAAUCUUUUAUGUACAUGACAUCUAUAUAAAAGCCUCUAAAAAUACAUAAUUAUCCUAAAGGUCGGGACAGAGCCCCGCCAUACCAAAUAAUACACGUCUAAAUUAUAGUGACCAAACAAGCAACUCCGGAGCAAAUGGAGCGCACCAACACCUUCCGCUGAGCUGAUAGCCUACUUGGAGGACUCUCAACCUGUCUAACGAGACCUGCAGGCAUGAAACGUAGCAUCCCCAGGGAAAAGGGACGUCAGUUCAAAUAAUGUACCGAGUAUGUAAGGAAUUAAAAUCAGUAAAUAAUAGACAUGAGAGAAACAUGGAGUAAAAGACUCGACAUGUAAGUGCGAAUAACUCUGUGAAUUAUUAAUAUUUAUAAUGUCAUGCAUAUGCGUAUAAAUGUCAUACCAUGCUUAGGUAUAUACGUUCAUAACAUCAUCAAGCCUCUGAGGGCUUCCAAUCAUAUCAUCUCGGCCACUGUGGGUAAAUCAUCAACGUAUACCAGCUGAUCAGGUGGUGGUGCGUAUAUAACGCCGUAAUCUUUUUCCAUAUCCCAUAUACAUAUAAUGUACAUAUAUACGCAUAUAUAACACCACAUGGUCAUGGGUCAAUGUAAAUGAAUAUAAUGCAUGAGAAGUACGUCAAUAAAAUCUCUCAAGAAUGUCAUAAGACCAUUAUGCCUCUGAUUAAUAUCACAAAAUAAACUUAUCAACUUACGUAUUUUCUUAGACCCAUGAACAGAUGAUAGAAUAAUAAGACACAUGGGGAAUCAAGAAUAUAGACACCCCUAAUAUUUUUUUGAAUAGAGUAAUUUAUGAAAGUUACGUAUUUUGCUCAUUUUAUUUGUAUCGUAUUGAUCAUGCCAAAAAGAAAGAAGAGAUAGCCUUUACAUACCUUAUCCGAUUCUAUUGACAAUCCUUCCAACACACGUUGAUUGAGAUAAAACAUGUAACCGCGGAUCGAGGUAGGGGAAAAUUCGUAUGAUAUUCUUUGAGAAAGAUUACAUUGUACCCCCUUAGAAUCGCAAAAUCCCGUUGCUAUAACAUUACGUAGUCUCGUAGGAUUUUUUUGUAGCAAAAAUCAUGUUGCUAACAUGAAGUCUUUUAUGAAUGAGUUUGCUGAAAUUCCUUUGUGCUUGUAGAGACUUGAAAUGAAUUUAGAGAGGUUUAUUUAGGUCUUUGGGUGUGGGCCUCACUUAUGUUUUGACUUAACCACACCGAACCUUCAAAAAAUGCCACCUUUCACAUUAGUUUAAGAGUCACUAGGUGGACUUAGUUGGCUGCCACGUGAAGGUUUAUUAAACCUUAUUCUAUUAACUUAAUUAACUUGGUAAUUCCCCACUAAUUAAUAAUUAACCAAUUACCUACAUAAUUAGAAAUUAUCUCAAAUUACUUAAAAUACUACUCACUUUUAACCCACUUUGCACACCUUUCUAGUAUGGUCAUGUGGUACCUUGUAUGGUAUUAGUCCAUAAAUACUAGGUAUUUUAGCUCGGGCCGUAUUUUAUCCCAAAAUAUCAAACUCCGACGAAAAUUAUUUUCUUCGAUUUGCUUACCCUCUCACCUUCACGAAUUUACUCAUCAGUUGUUUCAAAUAGCAUAAUGCUUAUAAUCUUAAAAUAAUCCAUUCCCGAACUUACGUCGAUUAACUUACGACAAAACUUUAACGUACGAAAAUGCGGGAUGUAAUAUCUUAUUUCUGAGCUUUCAUCAAUUUACUUAUGACGUACUUUUACGUACGAAAAUAUGGGGUGUAACGAAUAUAUGGGUAUGUGUAUGUUUUGUUUUCGUAGGACCAAACAUCGUGAUGUGGAACUUCUUCUAAGCAGCAAACCAAGCUACAACGCUAUGAGGGACAACAAACUCGUAGGCGGGCCAAGGAUCGAAACUCAAACUCAAAUAUGAUCAGUGGAACUCUAAUUCAUCAAAUCUUCCAAAUCAAGCCGCAAUUCAGAGCUAUCCUGGGUACAAAAGUCUUCCGUCUCGCAGUAUUGUCAUAACACGACUUUGGGAUAAUUCCUGCAAGCAUUGCC